CUCCGUAGUGUAGUGGUUAUCACGUUCGCUUCACACGCGAAAGGUCUCCGGUUCCAUCCCGGACGGAACCCGG
rnacentral:tRNA from 1 species